AUUGAACGCUGGCGGCAUGCCUUACACAUGCAAGUCGAACGGCAGCACGGGAGCAAUCCUGGUGGCGAGUGGCGAACGGGUGAGUAAAGUAUCGGAACGUGCCCAGUCGUGGGGGAUAACGUAGCGAAAGUUACGCUAAUACCGCAUACGAUCUAUGGAUGAAAGCGGGGGAUCGCAAGACCUCGCGCGAUUGGAGCGGCCGAUAUCAGAUAGGUAGUUGGUGGGGUAAAGGCUCACCAAGCCGACGAUCUGUAGCUGGUCUGAGAGGACGACCAGCCACACGGGGACUGAGACACGGCCCAGACUCCGACGGGAGGCAGCAGUGGGGAAUUUUGGACAAUGGGCGAAAGCCUGAUCCAGCCAUGCCGCGUGCAGGAUGAAGGCCUUCGGGUUGUAAACUGCUUUUGUACGGAACGAAAAGGUUUGGGCUAAUAAGCUGAGCUCAUGACGGUACCGUAAGAAUAAGCACCGGCUAACUACGUGCCAGCCGCCGCCGUAA
rnacentral:rRNA from 1 species